rfam:Dactylellina haptotyla CBS 200.50 unplaced genomic scaffold scaffold00033, whole genome shotgun sequence.
GUCAGCGUGGCCGAGUGGUUAAGGCGUUUGACUCGAAUUCUCCUCUGAGUUGGACAUCAAAUGGGUUCGCCCGCACAGGUUCGAAUCCUGUCGCUGACG